UACGUAGGGUGCGAGCGUUGUCCGGAAUUAUUGGGCGUAGAGGGCUCGUAGGCGGUUUGUCGCGUCGGGAGUGAAAACCAUGGGCUUAACUCAUGGCUUGCUUUCGAUACGGGCAGACUAGAGGUAUGCAGGGGAGAACGGAAUUCCUGGUGUAGCGGUGAAAUGCGCAGAUAUCAGGAGGAACACCGGUGGCGAAGGCGGGACUCUGGGCCGAUACUGACGCUGAGGAGCGAAAGCGUGGGGAGCAAACAGG
rnacentral:rRNA from 1 species